GAAACUGCCUGAUGGAGGGGGAUAACUACUGGAAACGGUAGCUAAUACCGCAUAACGUCGCAAGACCAAAGAGGGGGACCUUAGGGCCUCUUGCCAUCGGAUGUGCCCAGAUGGGAUUAGCUAGUAGGUGGGGUAACGGCUCACCUAGGCGACGAUCCCUAGCUGGUCUGAGAGGAUGACCAGCCACACUGGAACUGAGACACGGUCCAGACUCCUACGGGAGGCAGCAGUGGGGAAUAUUGCACAAUGGGCGCAAGCCUGAUGCAGCCAUGCCGCGUGUAUGAAGAAGGCCUUCGGGUUGUAAAGUACUUUCAGCGGGGAGGAAGGGAGUAAAGUUAAUACCUUUGCUCAUUGACGUUACCCGCAGAAGAAGCACCGGCUAACUCCGUGCCAGCAGCCGCGGUAAUACAGAGGGUGCAAGCGUUAAUCGGAAUUACUGGGCGUAAAGCGCACGCAGGCGGUUUGUUAAGUCAGAUGUGAAAUCCCCGGGCUCAACCUGGGAACUGCAUCUGAUACUGGCAAGCUUGAGUCUCGUAGAGGGGGGUAGAAUUCCAGGUGUAGCGGUGAAAUGCGUAGAGAUCUGGAGGAAUACCGGUGGCGAAGGCGGCCCCCUGGACGAAGACUGACGCUC
rnacentral:rRNA from 1 species